rnacentral:rRNA from 1 species
GUGCCAGCCGCCGCGGUAAUACAGAGGUCUCAAGCGUUGUUCGGAUUCAUUGGGCGUAAAGGGUGCGUAGGCGGCGCGGUAAGUCGGGUGUGAAAUUUCGAGGCUUAACUUCGAAACUGCAUUCGAUACUGCCGUGCUCGAGGACUGGAGAGGAGACUGGAAUUUACGGUGUAGCGGUGAAAUGCGUAGAUAUCGUAAGGAAGACCAGUGGCGAAGGCGGGUCUCUGGACAGUUCCUGACGCUGAGGCACGAAGGCCAGGGGAGCAAACGGGAUUAGAUACCCCGGUAGUCC